GCGACGCCACUCGAAAGCAUUUCGCCAGGUGUCCAGCUGCGAGAAGCUUUUCGCUAGACAUAUUCUUGAAGGGCACUGCUACCACCGCUUCCAUACGAGUUGUAGAAGCUUCUAGGUCCGCGGGCAGCUUAACAUCCCGGGUCGGCGAGCGGUUCAACCAGACAAGGCCCACAGUACCCUCAUCAACUCGCCCAGCCUGUCUGAGCGAUUCGAGUAGCGAAGGCAGGGGUACGACACGUCGGUGGACACUCGAGGCCCGCCGUCGAGCCGAACGUCGAGGGUUGCAACGGGAGCUCUCUCAACCAAGCGGCUACUGGAGAGAGUAUCACUCACGGUCAGCCUUGGCAAUCGUCGGAGCGAAAGGGGAGGCGCGAAACCGAGACGCAGAACAUCGCGUCCAUUUCUGGGCGAGAAUUGGCGGAGUAAGAGGAACAAAUGUGUAUACGUCUCAUUGUUCCUUCCUGUUUCCCUCCCGAUCCGACGCGGACGAUAGACUCUCGCUGGUGUAGCUGCUACCUCCAGAUCCGCGAGCAGAUGGAUCCUCGUUCCUAGUUUGCAUACAGACGUAUCAGUCAAAGCAGCGAAAGGGGCGCACUGGCAGAACAAACGCAUGGUGGUACAUAACCCCUCAAGGAGUAGAAGCUGUCGUAGAGAAUAUGGUUGACAAUCACACGUUGGCUAAAGCUGUAUUGCGACUCAGAUUCACUGGAUAAUACUGCAGUGUAUUAUUGGAGAAUUAUUAUCGAAAGGAGAUAGCGGAUGCUACUGGAAAAUUUGGUAGAAUUAAAAAUAUGGGAAGAUACAAUGGACCAAAUCUUGAAUAGAUGCAAUGGACCGAUAAGUAGGAAUCUUUAUGACAAGCUGUCAUUGAUAGUUGGAGUCACAAUGGUGAUUUAUUAUAUCUAUUCUUGAGCCCAGUGUUUAAGUAAAGAAUUGGGCCAAU